rnacentral:RNase_P_RNA from 1 species
GGAUCAGGUUAUCGCUUUUUUUUGAAAGAGGAAAGUCCGGGCUUCAAAUAAACAAAGUGCCGGUUAAUGGCCGGCGCGCAGACAAACCUGCGUAGGGAAAGUGCCACAGAAAUUAUACCGCCUAUGCAAAUAGGUAAGGGUGAAAUGGUGCGGUAAGAGCGCACCGCACGGAUGGUAACAUGCGUGGCAGGGUAAACCCCACUUGAAGCAAGACCAAAUAGGAACAGUGCUGAUUUUAUCACAAAGUGUUUGUUCUUUGAUGCUGUUCGGGUAGGUUGCUCGAGGUUGUGUGUAAAUGCAAUCCUAGAUGAAUGAUAGCCUCGGUUGAAAGAUAGGUACAUAUCUUUUGAUCUAGACAGAACCCGGCUUAUCGAUCCUGAU